CAGGCCUAACACAUGCAAGUCGAGCGGUAGAGAGAAGCUUGCUUCUCUUGAGAGCGGCGGACGGGUGAGUAAUACCUAGGAAUCUGCCUGAUAGUGGGGGAUAACGUUCGGAAACGGACGCUAAUACCGCAUACGUCCUACGGGAGAAAGCAGGGGACCUUCGGGCCUUGCGCUAUCAGAUGAGCCUAGGUCGGAUUGGCUAGUUGGUGAGGUAAUGGCUCACCAAGGCUACGAUCCGUAACUGGUCUGAGAGGAUGAUCAGUCACACUGGAACUGAGACACGGUCCAGACUCCUACGGGAGGCAGCAGCGGGGAAUAUUGGACAAUGGGCGAAAGCCUGAUCCAGCCAUGCCGCGUGUGUGAAGAAGGUCUUCGGAUUGUAAAGCACUUUAAGUUGGGAGGAAGGGCAGUUACCUAAUACGUGAUUGUCUUGACGUUACCGACAGAAUAAGCACCGGCUAACUCUGUGCCAGCAGCCGCGGUAAUACAGAGGGUGCAAGCGUUAAUCGGAAUUACUGGGCGUAAAGCGCGCGUAGGUGGUUUGUUAAGUUGAAUGUGAAAUCCCCGGGCUCAACCUGGGAACUGCAUCCAAAACUGGCAAGCUAGAGUAUGGUAGAGGGUAGUGGAAUUUCCUGUGUAGCGGUGAAAUGCGUAGAUAUAGGAAGGAACACCAGUGGCGAAGGCGACUACCUGGACUGAUACUGACACUGAGGUGCGAAAGCGUGGGGAGCAAACAGGAUUAGAUACCCUGGUAGUCCACGCCGUAAACGAUGUCAACUAGCCGUUGGGAGUCUUGAACUCUUAGUGGCGCAGCUAACGCAUUAAGUUGACCGCCUGGG
rnacentral:rRNA from 1 species